rnacentral:rRNA from 1 species
GACGAACGCUGGCGGCGUGCUUAACACAUGCAAGUCGAACGGAAAGGCCCUGCUUUUGUGGGGUGCUCGAGUGGCGAACGGGUGAGUAACACGUGAGUAACCUGCCCUUGACUUGGGAUAACUUCAGGAAACUGGGCUAAUACCGGAUAGGAGCUCCUGCUGCAUGGUGGGGGUUGGAAAGUUUCGGCGGUUGGGGAUGGACUCGCGGCUUAUCAGCUUGUUGGUGGGGUAGUGGCUUACCAAGGCUUUGACGGGUAGCCGGCCUGAGAGGGUGACCGGCCACAUUGGGACUGAGAUACGGCCCAGACUCCUACGGGAGGCAGCAGUGGGGAAUAUUGCACAAUGGGCGGAAGCCUGAUGCAGCAACGCCGCGUGCGGGAUGACGGCCUUCGGGUUGUAAACCGCUUUCGCCUGUGACGAAGCGUGAGUGACGGUAAUGGGUAAAGAAGCACCGGCUAACUACGUG